CACUCGCUUGAUGGCCGGGGGAUAAAUAGAAACGUCUGCCGGCAGGGAAGAUGAAAGGAAGAGCCGGAGCGAAGAGUUAGAGGAGUGGCGGGGCAGGGGGUGGGGUGGGGUGGGGUGGGAGAUGGAUCAGGUGUAAAGAAGCGACUGGGAAGGAUGAGAGAGAUUCGGUGGGAGGAUGAAUCAAAUGGGCUGUUCUCUGCCCUUGUCGUCUUCGUGGGCAAAUAUAACCAGGAUUGCUGUUCAGAACUGUUUCUGAAGAAAAGGACAUGACUGGACAGGGCCACUAAAUCCGAAGGAAAAGGCACCACCUUCCCUUGGCACCNCUCGCUGUGCUAUUGGCAUGGAAGAAUCAUCUGGAGAAGGAAAGGAGAGGGAGGGUCUUCUGACGGGGGGGUGACUCCGGUCCUCCAGUCAUGCAGAAUAGAAUCCAAGGAGGAAAUUGGCUGAUGAAUAUUUGAGCCCCAGUUGGUUCAGCCUCCAAUGGGAAAGAACCAGAUGAGAAAGGAAGCCCAUCGGCCUUAAGAUGUCCGCCUGAUGUCGUGCCCGACAAAAGCAAGUUACUGCUCCCUUUGAAAGGCCAGCGGAGGGUGUUUGCGUGAAUUCCUCGUUGCGAGCAGCUCAGAGCUGAAACAUGGAACUGGGGGGGACGGAGAGCAUUUUUUAAAUUUCCGCAGGGAACCAGGGCACAUUUAUUAGUUUGUGAGGAAUUGUCAUCUUCUGCUCUUUCUUCUCUCCCUCCUUUUUUUCUGACAAUAGGAGGAGUCUCUGCACGCUUCUUUUCAUCUUAAGUGCUUUCUCAAGACCAUGGAACACGGAUUUGAUAGAUCUGAAUGUCUUCUAGCCAUUGGUGGUCGUGAUAAGAAGUGAAUGAAAUGAGAUGUAAGGCUCUGUGCUUUUGCUUUGUUCUCUGCUCAAGCUUUUAAGUUGUUUUUAGCAUUGUAAGGUUAAGGACAUGGGAUGCUUGUUCAUUAACACGAGAUACCGCAAAAAGGUUCUUUGUCGGUGGCUUCUAGAUCAGGACUGUUAAAGACGAGAAGACAGACUUCAGUCUUUUAGCAAAUGCUGAUUCCUGAAUCAGUUGCCCAGUGUGUUUUCGGCUUUAUUCUAGUGGAGGAAUCGCAGUGGUGUUGUAUAUGAAAGUAUCGGUGAAGGAAAGUAGCUCAAUCUCAGACACACCGGGCUGGUGACCCUACAUUAUUGUGAGAAAGGAUAUUAGCUCAUCCCUACCUGCGUUCAGUUCCUCCCUCUC
rnacentral:lncRNA from 1 species